rnacentral:lncRNA from 1 species
UCAGGACCGCGACGGCAGCAGAGCAUUGUCAUAAAUUAACAUUAAUGAUGAGUAAAGAUGGAGCAGCGAGCAUUGACCGUCACCUGCAGGGUGAGAUUGCAGUAAAAUAGGUGAGUAAAAAGUCCACCUAUUAUCCUGACACUUGUCCUCUUUACAGAAAACUGUAACGUGAGCAAUACUAUACAUGUAGUGUGACUCCAAAAAUAAAAAAUAAAACAAACAACAACAACAACAACAAAAAAACAAUGACCAGUUACCCGAUACCUCUGGCAACUUAGAACAAUCAAGUUGUGAGUUAUAGAAGAUGUAAAUUGCAACUUGUAACUCGCUAUAACAUAAAUGUCUCUGUUACCCCCAUGUGAAAUACAGAAAUGCUUCAACAAUUAGAUGGUUUUUUCUUUAAAUCAGAAAUGCUUUAACAGUUCAAUGAAAUAUAAUUCUGAUCAAAGAAGUUCCUCAAGUAUUCUUAGAUGAUAAAACAAAUUAUUUUUGAAAGCUAAGGUGAUUUGCUAUCCGUUAUUUUUUCCCCUUUAAAUAGCACAUGUUGCCCUUAAUCAAAUGGAAGAAUCAUGACAACUUGGCCUUUUAUGAAAGUAUUUUUUACAAGAUAAGACGUAUUCUGUGAGGCAUUUAAAGGACUGCAGAAAGGAGAAAAAUGGGUGUUAAGGGCAGAAAUCUUUACUAGACUGGAGAGGAGAAAGAGACAAACACCCAAUAUACUUGUUCUUCUUGGGCUAAGCCUGUCCUAGCAGAGGACCUAAAACCUGGGACAUUUCGAUGCAUACUUCUUUGAAAAG